rnacentral:rRNA from 1 species
UACGUAGGGGGCAAGCGUUGUCCGGAAUCACUGGGCAUAAAGCGCGCGCAGGCGGUCAUCUACGUCUGGGGUGAAAGCCCGGAGCUCAACUCCGGGACUGCCUUGGAUACGGGAUGACUUGAGGAUCGGAGAGGCAAGGGGAAUUCCACGUGUAGCGGUGAAAUGCGUAGAGAUGUGGAGGAACACCGGUGGCGAAGGCGGCAUCCUGGACCGGUAUUGACGCUGAGGCGCGAAAGCCAGGGGAGCAAACGGG